GGACGAACGCUGGCGGCGUGCUUAACACAUGCAAGUCGAACGGAAAGGCCUCAGCUUGCUGGGGUACUCGAGUGGCGAACGGGUGAGUAACACGUGGGUGAUCUGCCUUGUACUUCGGGAUAAGCCUGGGAAACUGGGUCUAAUACUGGAUAGGACCAUGCUUUAGUGUGUCAUGGUGGAAAGUUUUUUCGGUACAAGAUGAGCCCGCGGCCUAUCAGCUUGUUGGUGGGGUAAUGGCCUACCAAGGCGUCGACGGGUAGCCGGCCUGAGAGGGUGGACGGCCACAUUGGGACUGAGAUACGGCCCAGACUCCUACGGGAGGCAGCAGUGGGGAAUAUUGCACAAUGGGCGGAAGCCUGAUGCAGCGACGCCGCGUGGGGGAUGACGGCCUUCGGGUUGUAAACCUCUUUCGACAGGGACGAAGCUUUUGUGACGGUACCUGUAUAAGAAGCACCGGCUAACUACGUGCCAGCAGCCGCGGUAAUACGUAGGGUGCGAGCGUUGUCCGGAAUUACUGGGCGUAAAGAGCUCGUAGGUGGUUUGUCGCGUCGUCUGUGAAAUACCGGGGCUUAACUCCGGAGCUGCAGGCGAUACGGGCAUAACUUGAGUGCUGUAGGGGAGACUGGAAUUCCUGGUGUAGCGGUGGAAUGCGCAGAUAUCAGGAGGAACACCGAUGGCGAAGGCAGGUCUCUGGGCAGUAACUGACGCUGAGGAGCGAAAGCAUGGGGAGCGAACAGGAUUAGAUACCCUGGUAGUCCAUGCCGUAAACGGUGGGCGCUAGGUGUAGGGGUCUUCCACGACUUCUGUGCCGUAGCUAACGCAUUAAGCGCCCCGCCUGGGGAGUACGGCCGCAAGGCUAAAACUCAAAGGAAUUGACGGGGGCCCGCACAAGCGGCGGAGCAUGUGGAUUAAUUCGAUGCAACGCGAAGAACCUUACCUGGGCUUGACAUAUACAGGUUUGCUGCAGAAAUGUAGUGUCCCUUUGUGGUCUGUUUACAGGUGGUGCAUGGUUGUCGUCAGCUCGUGUCGUGAGAUGUUGGGUUAAGUCCCGCAACGAGCGCAACCCUUGUCUUAUGUUGCCAGCACGUGAUGGUGGGGACUCAUGAGAGACUGCCGGGGUUAACUCGGAGGAAGGUGGGGAUGACGUCAAAUCAUCAUGCCCCUUAUGCCCAGGGCUUCACACAUGCUACAAUGGUCGGUACAACGCGCAGCCAGCCCGUGAGGGUGAGCGAAUCGCUGAAAGCCGGCCUCAGUUCGGAUUGGGGUCUGCAACUCGACCCCAUGAAGUCGGAGUCGCUAGUAAUCGCAGAUCAGCAACGCUGCGGUGAAUACGUUCCCGGGCCUUGUACACACCGCCCGUCACGUCAUGAAAGUUGGUAACACCCGAAGCCAGUGGCCUAACCCUUGUGGGGGGAGCUGUCGAAGGUGGGAUCGGCGAUUGGGACGAAGUCGUAA
rnacentral:rRNA from 1 species